GGGGUUGUGGCUCAGUGGUAGAGCGCUUGUCUCCAAUGCGUGGGGCACUGGGUUCAAUCCUCAGCACCA
rfam:Ictidomys tridecemlineatus contig081956, whole genome shotgun sequence.